GAUGAACGCUGGCGGCGUGCCUAAUACAUGCAAGUCGAGCGAACAGACGAGGAGCUUGCUCCUUUGACGUUAGCGGCGGACGGGUGAGUAACACGUAGGUAACCUACCUAUAAGACUGGGAUAACUUCGGGAAACCGGAGCUAAUACCGGAUAAUAUUUCGAACCGCAUGGUUCGAUAGUGAAAGAUGGCUUUGCUAUCACUUAUAGAUGGACCUGCGCCGUAUUAGCUAGUUGGUAAGGUAACGGCUUACCAAGGCAACGAUACGUAGCCGACCUGAGAGGGUGAUCGGCCACACUGGAACUGGGACACGGUCCAGACUCCUACGGGAGGCAGCAGUAGGGAAUCUUCCGCAAUGGGCGAAAGCCUGACGGAGCAACGCCGCGUGAGUGAUGAAGGUCUUCGGAUCGUAAAACUCUGUUAUUAGGGAAGAACAAACGUGUAAGUAACUGUGCACGUCUUGACGGUACCUAAUCAGAAAGCCACGGCUAACUACGUG
rnacentral:rRNA from 1 species